CGGGGACGGGGUGGAGGUAAAUGCUUGGGAAUCUAGCUAUGAGGGGGAGUAACUACGGGAAACUGUAGCUAAUACCGCGUAAUAUCGAAAGAUUAAAGUGUGGGACCUUCGGGCCACAUGCCAUAGGAUGAGCCCAAGUGGGAUUAGGUAGUUGGUGAGGUAAAGGCUCACCAAGCCGACGAUCUCUAGCUGGUCUGAGAGGAUGACCAGCCACACUGGGACUGAGACACGGCCCAG
rnacentral:rRNA from 1 species